rnacentral:lncRNA from 1 species
UUGGCGCCACAAAGGGUAGAGUAGCCACCACCAAAGGCGAAGAAGGCGCCAUAAAGGACGGGAGAAGAGCCGCCCUUUGGGGCGGCUGGAAAGACCAUGAUCAAAAAGAUUUUAUUCUAGUUUUAGGUAAAAUACAACUUUGAAUAUUAUGUUGUCGAGUUGUCAAUUUAAGCAGUAAAUCAAAUAGAUUUCGUUUUAGAGGUAUAUUUCGUAGGUUGUCAACGUGAGUUAUCGACGACUUGUUUUUUAUUUGAAUAUGUUACCUAGGGUGUUAGUCCAAACCAUUAAUGAGGUGUUAAAGUUGUAUUGAUGCACUAUGAUAAAAAGGGCAAAUUUACCGUUAAAAGUGCCUAUUAUGUGGCUCAGUAGUGGAUCCUUCCUCCCUCUUUAUCUUCAUCUUCUUCAUCCUCUUGCAACCAAUUUUCUACUUUGUGGGAUACAUUAUAGUAGGCCAUUGUUCCUCCCAAAGUUAAGAUGACGGUGUCGACGUAAAUUUCCGCUGUCUUCAGUCUUAACGAAAAUGCACCUGCAAAACAACCAUAACCUUUGAUCAAGGACCUAAGCCUCAUGCACCCACGAGGUGGGGGGGGGGUUAGGCCAAUAGAUCUCCAAUGCCUAAGUCAGUUUCUCUGAGAGAGAGUAAAGUGUUUAGGGCUUUUUUAGUGUAGCCAAAGCUCCUGAAAUUUGGUAGAAUAUGUUGUAUAUAUAGGGAGAGGACCGACCAUAGUGUUAGGGUUUUACCCUACACAUGGCGGCAUCCUAUUGGCCAAGGAUUAUGGAGAAAUAUUCUCAAGAUAUUAAAUAGGAAAUAAUAUCUAGAGAUAAUGGAGUAAUUAUCCUUAAUUGAUUUAAAUAUGGAUUACUUGAUUGAAGUCAAUCUUCAAUUGGGAAUGAUUUGGGUAAUUAAUCCUUAUCUUUCAUGAUUUGACUUUUCCCUGCCAAGGGCAGGUGAGCUGUAGGCAGUCGUAUUCAGCUGCUGGGACCUUUAGGGAUGUGAGCUGCACGUGGGAGUACUUGAGGAACCUGCCUAUUUAUUGAGGGCAAUCUUGUCUUUCUUGAGCAAAAGUCCACUUGUCGCCUCUAGAAUUUUUGGGAUUAUUUUUGGCUCCACAAAUACCCUCACACCUGCUGAGCUGCACAUAGGAAAAAGGGCAGUAGCUGUAGAAAUCCUAAGUCGCAUGGGCUUGUAGAGUUGUUUCUCAAUUUGAACUUGAUCUCCUUUCUUGAUUUCGAGAUAGACUUCUUUUACGAAAAAGAAACCAAUUGCCCCCAAUAACUAUUUAAUUUUGCCUUAAGCAGGGGAUUAAAUAAAUUUAGAGAGCAAUCAUCAUUCCAACAAAGAAGAGAAGCCAGAAGAAAUUUUUCUUCCCCCUUCCCUAGCUUUCUUAUUCUCUUGCUCUUGUAAAGAGUCGUCUCUCAUUGUUGUUCUUCUUCUCCGUGCCACACCAAACGUAAGAAAAUUUGAAUUUUCCUUUUCUUGAGUUUUUUGGGAAUCUUGGGACUUGAAAAAUUGGCUCGG